rnacentral:rRNA from 1 species
UACGAAGGGGGCUCGCGUUGUUCGGAUUUACUGGGCGUAAAGCGCACGUAGGCGGAUUGUUAAGUCAGGUGUGAAAUCCCGGAGCUCAACUCCGGAACUGCCUUUGAUACUGGCAAUCUUGAGGCUGGAAGAGGUUGGUAGAAUUCCCAGUGUAGAGGUGAAAUUCGUAGAUAUUGGGAAGAAUACCAGUGGCGAAGGCGGCCAACUGGUCCAGAUCUGACGCUGAGGUGCGAAAGCGUGGGGAGCAAACAGG